rnacentral:rRNA from 1 species
UAAUUGAAGAGUUUGAUCAUGGCUCAGAUUGAACGCUGGCGGCAGGCUUAACACAUGCAAGUCGAGCGGUAGCACAAGAGAGCUU